UAACUGACACUGAUAAUCGCGUCGGUCAAAGCAUCGAAAGGGAAGGGUAUAAAACGAAGCUGCGUUGGCGCAACAUCCAAACAGUGCACACAAGCAAACAAGAAGGUCAGACCCUCUGCUAACAGAGCUACAAAAAAAACACAAGAGAAAAAUGACGACCAUUCGAUGCGUGCUUUUCGCUGUAUUACUGUUUGCUUAUUGCGCUUUGUUGAUAAAAGCGCGCUCGAUUGAUGCUGAGGCCGAGAAGACCUGGCAAGAGGAGGAGACAAAAACAGUUGCAGAAAAAAGCCCACUGAAGAAGCGAGGUUGCUCUGAUGCGUUUCCUGUUGUUUGCCGGUCCCCAAGCGUGAAAGCUGCUUGUUAUAACCCUAACCAUAGGAGCCACGCCUUCAUAACCGACGUCUGCAAGCACACGUGCCAUCUUUGUUAAAUACGGGAAAUGACUGCGAUGGAGAUAAAGAUGACGAGAAACAAGAAUACAUAAUCAAAUAAAAUGAGCCCAGAACGUUGUACAAAAACCUCCCCUCCCUUAUGUAUUCAGUGUAGUAUAGCAUAGUGUAUUACAAUCUCCAGUGUAGUGCUCCCUUCGCUCCUCUAUAUACCAUAAGAUUGUACAGGUGUGAACAUAUAAUAAAGAUGUGUCAGAUGAAUCAGUCGAAUAAAGACUGGGAAAAAUACCUA